GACGAACGCUGGCGGCGUGCUUAACACAUGCAAGUCGAACGCUGAACCCGCUUCGGUGGGGGAUGAGUGGCGAACGGGUGAGUAACACGUGGGCAACCUGCCCCCGGCUCUGGGAUAACUCCAAGAAAUUGGGGCUAAUACCGGAUGUGACCACUGGCCGCAUGGUCUGGUGGUGGAAAGGGUUUCCGGCUGGGGAUGGGCCCGCGGCCUAUCAGCUUGUUGGUGGGGUAGUGGCCUACCAAGGCGACGACGGGUAGCCGGCCUGAGAGGGUGACCGGCCACACUGGGACUGAGACACGGCCCAGACUCCUACGGGAGGCAGCAGUGGGGAAUAUUGCGCAAUGGGCGGAAGCCUGACGCAGCGACGCCGCGUGGGGGAUGACGGCCUUCGGGUUGUAAACCUCUUUCAGCAGGGACGAAGCGCAAGUGACGGUACCUGCAGAAGAAGCACCGGCCAACUACGUG
rnacentral:rRNA from 1 species